GAACGCACCUUGCGCCCUUUGGCUAUUCCGAAGGGCAUGCCUGUUUGAGUAUCAUGAACACCUCAACUCUCAUGGUUUGCCGUGAUGAGCUUGGACUUUGGGGGUCUUGCUGGCCUAUGGUCAGCUCCUCUCAAAUGGAUCAGCUUACCAGUAUUUGGUGGCGUCACAGGUGUGAUAACUAUCUACGCUUGUGGUUGUCUGCCGAGUAACCUUUGGUGACAGAGGUUUGCUGGAGCUUAUAAAUGUCUUUCCUCAGUGAAGACAGCUUUUUGACCGUUCGAUCUCAAAUCAGGUAGGACUACCCGCUGAACUUAAG
rnacentral:misc_RNA from 1 species